rnacentral:rRNA from 1 species
AAUCAACGCUGGCGGCGUGCCUAACACAUGCAAGUCGAACGAGAAAGUCCCCGCAAGGGGACGAGUACAGUGGCAGACGGGUGAGUAACACGUGAACAAUCUACCCUCGAGUGGGGAAUAACCCCGCGAAAGCGGGGCUAAUACCGCAUAAUACUUCUGGGACGCAUGUCCUGGAGAUCAAGGGCUUCGGUCGCUUGAGGAGGAGUUCGCGCCUGAUUAGCUAGUUGGGAGGUAACGGCCCACCAAGGCAACGAUCAGUAGCCGGCCUGAGAGGGCGUACGGCCACACUGGAACUGAGACACGGUCCAGACUCCUACGGGAGGCAGCAGUGGGGAAUAUUGCACAAUGGGCGCAAGCCUGAUGCAGCCAUGCCGCGUGUGUGAAGAAGGCCUGG